AUGGAUCCCGCCCUCAAAUCGUACCUCAACAAGCUCGCGGAGACCUUGAUGAAGGCCAACAAGGACACCUGGGCAGACAUGAAGGAGCUCGCGGAGUGGAUCGACCACCAGUCCACGCAGGUGGACGCUCUCACCGCGUGGAAGCCGGACCUCGAAGCCCGCCUCUCCAAGCUCCAGGAGACGGUGGGCAUACUCCAGAGCAGACGGCCUUCUGCAGCGACCGCAUCCACUGGUGGAUCGAAGGGGAUGGAUCUCCCUGAUCUGUCACCCAACGACGCGAUCCAUGGGCCCGAUGGCCACAGCAAGUCGCUUCAACCAUGGGGUGGGUUGUCGGCGGGCGCCGUCCCGCCGGUGACCUCUCCGGCCAAUGGUACGCUAAAUUUCCACACACCCAUCAAUUACCAGGUGUCUGAUCCAUCCCUAGGAUCUAGUUUCCCUUCGGGUCAUCUUAUCACGGGGCUAGGCCAGGCUUCCCCAUCACUCAUGUUUCCCCAGUUCUCCGGUGACAACCCAAAGAUAUGGAAAACUAUGUGUGAGCAGUACUUUGCCAUGUUCCAAAUUCAUGACACUUAUUUCGUUCCUAUGGCCACCAUGCACUUCACUGAUCCAGCAGCCAUUUGGCUACAGUCAGUUCAGGGAAAACUUGCGGGUCUCGAUUGGGAAGCAUUAUGUACCUUGCUAUGCACUCGAUUUGGACGCGACGGGCAUCAAUUACUUAUUCGUCAGUUUUAUGCUCUGCGUCAAACUAGUUCUAUGUCUGAUUACAUUGAGCAAUUUGAAAACCUCAUGAACCAUCUUAUCUCCUAUUCUGAUGUUGUCCACCCACUUUAUUUUCUGACGAGGUUCAUUGAGGGAUUGCACACGGAUAUCCACACUAUGGUGAUGGUACAAUGA
rnacentral:rRNA from 1 species